GGUGAACGCUGGCGGUAGGCCCAACACAUGCAAGUCGAACGGCAGCACAGAGGAGCUUGCUCCUUAGGUGGCGAGUGGCGGACGGGUGAGGAAUACAUCGGAAUCUACUCUGUCGUGGGGGAUAACGUAGGGAAACUUACGCUAAUACCGCAUACGACCUACGGGUGAAAGCAGGGGACCUUCGGGCCUUGCGCGAUUGAAUGAGCCGAUGUCGGAUUAGCUAGUUGGCGGGGUAAAGGCCCACCAAGGCGACGAUCCGUAGCUGGUCUGAGAGGAUGAUCAGCCACACGGGAACUGAGACACGGUCCAGACUCCUACGGGAGGCAGCAGUGGGGAAUAUUGGACAAUGGGCGCAAGCCUGAUCCAGCCAUACCGCGUGGGUGAAGAAGGCCUUCGGGUUGUAAAGCACUUUCAGUGGAGAGGAAGUUGCGUGUGCUAAUAUCAUACGUAAUUGACGUUACCCACAGAAGAAGCACCGGCUAACUCUGUGCCAGCAGCCGCCGUAA
rnacentral:rRNA from 1 species